UACGUAGGGUGCAAGCGUUGUCCGGAAUUAUUGGGCGUAAAGAGCUCGUAGGCGGUUUGUCGCGUCCGCUGUGAAAUCCCGAGGCUCAACCUCGGGUCUGCAGUCGAUACGGGCAAACUAGAGUAUUGCAGGGGAGACUGGAAUUCCUGGUGUAGCGGUGAAAUGCGCAGAUAUCAGGAGGAACACCGGUGGCGAAGGCGGGUCUCUGGGCCGAUAUCGACGCUGAGGAGCGAAAGCGUGGGGAGCGAACAGG
rnacentral:rRNA from 1 species